UCGAGCUCUGAAAGCUAAUGUUUCUUUAAUUAUUUUUUUCAGCUUCCAAAUGUUUUGGGUUUCAUCUUUGGAGUGCUUCAAAUGAUACUUUACAUGAUAUACAAGAAACCUGGGACAAAGGUUUUGGAACCACCAGUGAUUAACCUCCAGGAAAUAUCUGACCAUGUUGUCGAUGUCGUGAGGCUUAGUUCGAUGGUUUGUUCCUCACAGAUGAGAACUUUGGUGCCACAGGACAGUGCGGACAUGGAAGACACCAUAACCAUUGACGAGAAGAUCAAAGGAGACAUUGAGAAAAUGAAGGAGAGCAAAGAAAUGCUUCUUAUAUCCAAGAAUUAAUAAAGCUCUUAACUAUCAAGUGUGGAGUUGUGUGUUUUAGUUGCUUGUCUGCUAAGUUAAUGUUUAAUUUGCAUGUGUGGCCUCUCUCUCUCUCUCAUCUUGAAUGUAAAAUAAGUUUCUAUUAAAUUAAAUAAAUGAAUAUGUCUUGUGUAUGGGUGUCCUUUGUAACAAAAAUAGAUCGACUUGUCUAUUAUCUUUCUUUCAGUUGUAAAAUCCAAAAUCAAACUAUAUUAAUUUUGUUCAUCUUGUCAUUUAUACUAAAAAGUUUACACUUAGCAACAAGUUAUAAUAAUAUCAUAUUUAGUAUAUAUAUAUAUAUGGUAUUUCUAAUAUUUAGUAAAUAUUUGCACAUUAGCAAAUAUUUAUCAAAGAAGUCUUGUUGUAGUGCAAGUUUGUUCAUUGAAGUUUGGGUUUCAGUUGAUCUGGUUAUAGGUUGUAUUAGUUUUGGUGUUCAUGUUUGUUUCUUGUUUCCUCCUUGUCUCCCAUUUGCUAUCGUCUCCAGGGAUUUCCAUGUUGUCCCCACGGCGUUUGUAACUACUUUCGGUGUUCAAAAUUGAAAAAAAAAGAAAGAAAAAGAAAGCGAGCAACUCCGGGAUUAUAUGCUCUCGGCUAGAGUCAGUCUGAUGCUUUUGGCAUGGCCUUCCGGUUUCAUUAGUUGCAAUUUAUAAUAUCUAUGAUUAAAUUCAAAAGCAAAUGUAAUUCAAUUUGUAAAUGUCAAUUUGAUGAUCCUACUUACAUUGACUGCAAUAACCAAUGUGUGAGUAUUUGUUGGAAAUUUAACUCUAUUACAAUACCCCUACUUCUCUACCAACUCCGGUGUGGUUGGGUCAGAGACAACACUGUGCCACAAAAAAAAAAACCUAACGAGUCAAUGGUAUCCUCCUCCAUGCAGUGACAUCCUUCCGAGCUAGUUCCAGACCUCUAACGUCUCCCACGCAACGCUUGGAUCGUGUUUGACGCCUCCUGCAACCACAAAAAAAAAUUAUUUUAAUUUCCUGAAUCUCAGGAGAAGAUUUAGUAGAGGAAGGUGAUAAGAAGAAAGAAGGAACCUCUAGCUUAUUUCUGAGAUCUUCUUCCUCCUUGUCGCGUCUGUCUCUAUCCUCUGAGAAUAUGUCGAUUAAACUCUCCUGCUCUUUCUUCACGUCUUCUAACUCAUCUUUUGUUCUUUGAACCUGACAAUACCAAAGAGGAAUCAUCCAUUGGUGACUGACUGAUUGUUGCUUAUAGGUUUGCAAGCAGAUACAGUAAACAUGUUAAGAGUAGAAUUUAUACCUCAGCUUCAAGUUUUUUGCGAAGCUCUUUCUCACGUCGCAGCUCUUCUUGCAAUAGCAAGUAAACAGCUUCCUUUUUAUUUAGCCUAGAAUUAAGGAAAACACAAAGCUUACGGUGUUGUUCAAACAAGUGAGAAACAUGAAUCAUAACAUGGUAACGUAAGGUAACAAAACCUCUCUUUUAACGUUUCAUUCUCUUGCUCUAGUUGACUGAGGGUACGUGAAUCAGCAGAACGUGGCUUGGCUGGUGGUUCGAAGCUCUGCGAGAACAAGUACACAAAGGUUCAUAAUCCUAUUCACCGGAUAAAAAUAGGGAAAAAAUCAAAGAAAGAGCAUUGGAGGACCUUCUCAGGAGGCUCAGUGACAUUUUCUUCACCCGGAGGAUCGUGAUCAGAGUCCUCAUCACUGUUGAUAUCUUCUACAGCUGGAGGAGCUACUCGAGCCUUUGCUCGUCCAUUAAAUUUGGAAGAGGUGUUUCCAUGUUUACCACUUUUCUCUGAUGAACCGACCCCAUUAGAAUCUCUAACAGAUCCUUUUCCUUUUCCUCCUCGAUUCACAACUGUCCUUGCAGCAGUUGGAGUUUUAAAGCUCAACGAUGCAGCAGCAGCUCUUUUCCUGGUUGAGACUGCAUACUCUGGUGAUGAUUCUACACAAAUGUCCAAGAGAUUUGUUUAUUAGCACACGUUUUAAAACCCCGAUUGUUUAAAAAAAAAAGAUGUUAGUACCUCUGUCUUCAGAGUCUUUAGCGGACUUUUUGCCAUGUGCUGAAACAUAUCCAAUUCUGUGACAGUUCAACCUCCUGAAUAAAUCAGAAGCGCAAAGAGUUCAGUGAAGCAUCGACAAUUUUCUAAAAAGCAAGAGAAGAAAGCAACAAACCAAUAAUUCUUCUGCAUUACAAGAAGACGUGUCUCGAGUCUAGACAAAACUGUUGUACGCUCAAAACCUUGCUUAUCAUGAGCCGGCUCAACGAAAUCAGCUUCCAAAACACCUUUUAGCACCAAGAAUAAACUAACGCAUUAGACUUCAAAUUAAAAGAGCCAAUCAUGUAUUAUAGACCUUCCUGCAAAAUAACGAUUACCUAUGAUCCCACGACCUUGACUUCCUGCUGCAUUCCAUAUCCUCCAAAAUGGCUGACAAAAACAAAGUGGGACAGUUAAAAAAAACUGACAGAAACAAAGGUAAUAUAGGCCGAAAAGAACGAGAGAAACCUUAAUAAGGCGAUUCUUGUGGUAGACAUUGAAGCCUUGAACAUCAACGUGAUGUUUUGCAUCCUUAACAAAUCCAAUCGUCACAACAGCAGACAUCUGUUAUAAAUAUUGCCACACAACCAUAUUUAGAAACUGCGCAAGUUCUUCAAAUAAAAUUUGCAGGAAGAGGUCUUUUGAGUAUAACUAAGUUGUGAAAAACAUUACAUUUGAGAAAUUAGAUUGUCCACCGGGACCUUCUUUUGGACGAUAAGUGAUUUGGUUUGUGUGCAUCAUGUCAUUCACAAUGUUGUGAUGCUCAACAUCUCUUCCUCGGAGAAUGAUACGGAACUCAGGUGGAACUCUCAGGUAUAGAAUAGAUACAUAACUCUGGAGACAACAAUUCACAAGGUAACAAAUGAAUUUCGUAAAACAAAAAAAAAACAAUUUCAACUGCCACUGUUAAGGAAAGACGGAUAGAAGAUUCAUACUCUGAGUGAAUGCCUGUAUGUGAGGAAGUGUCUAGAGUUAGGGUACUGAGCAGCCAUACUGAUACUUUUCUCAUCCCUAUUGACCCCUCUAAGUUGGAUAUCCUGCAACAAAACGUGUGUCAUUACUUGCGCUAAUUAACUUUUAUAGUUUUAUGUGAUCUAUCAAUCGGCAUUCAGAAUUAACAAUUAAGGGGGUGAUUGGUAGUUGCCGUAGGUGUUGUCCACAGUCUUAUUUAUUUCUAAAACACCAAAUUCAGAGCAAUCAAACUUUAAUUUUUUUUUUGAAACCACAGCUCUUGAAAUAACCUACAGCUGUACAAGUAUUCUGCAGAACCAAAUAUCCAAAGCAAUUUUUUAGUGCUUUCCAUAAAAUUCUACAGCAAUAAAAUCUAAAAUCACAGCAAAAAGUUUACAGAUUUUUUUCUACAGCAAAAAUUUUAAAGCUACAGCCAUUACCAAUCGGACCCUAACUUACUUAUCCUUUGAUUAUUUGUUACCUAGUCAGUAAUUCAAGUUGGGUGUGUUUAACUAAAAACGUAUUGUACUAUUCAUUUGACAAAUGUAUUGCAAUCUCUUAAGAGAAAAUUGACAUUUAUAUUUUUCAUACAUAUUAAGAAAUUUAUAGAUUAUUUGCAAGCACCAGAUAAGUUUAAUUUCUUGUUUAAUACAGACAAAACAGAAAAUAUUGUUUGUACUGGGAAAAUAUAAAACGAUAGUUAUAUCCUAAACGACUCUUACUACAAAGCAAAAAAAAAUUAUUAUAAAUUUUAAGAUCAAAAGGUAUAUCAGUAUAUGGCUACCAUGCCAAAAUGUUGGUAUCUUUUUAGAUAACGACGGUAGUCACUGUCCAAACGAACUCUGUAUUGCUCAUGCACUGGUUGAGCAUGUACAUCAAGCAAAUUAAAGAAAACGAAAUCAUAUAAUGAGUCGAAACUUCAAUAGCAUGAAUGUAAUAAUAUUCCACAACUAUUAACUUUUCAUGAAAACAAAGACAGUCCGAUCGAGUAGAUUUUAUUCCAAGAGUAUCUUAAACACAGUGGAUAAAAAUUCAGAAGAACUAGAAAAAUUUACUAAUACAUAUCUCAUAUUGUCUAACGAAAAAUAUAUAUUUAAGAAGUCUCGUUUUCUAAACUUGUACAUGGUUCAAUUUCGGUAGACUGGUCCAAAUGCACAAAAAAAAAUUUUAUAAGAAUAUGGACGAAAACAAUGAUACAAUGAUAUCAUCAAACGUGCAUUAAAAUGUUUAGCAUGUUCAUAUAGAAAACGUUAUUAUUUACGAUGAGAUUGGUAGCGUUACUGUCACAAAAAUAGGCAUACAUUUUUGUUCUCAUUUCAAUGACAAAUCAGGCCAGAUAGAAAACUGCUCCAUUGUAUAUCGAUAUCUUUGUUAGUUUGGUAAUAAUGAACGUGAUUUUUUAUAUAGAAAAAAUAAACUAAAAUGCAAAAUGAUACUCUAUAUCAAUUUAUACUGCACUCAAGAAAAUGUUUUGUACAUCACAACAAAUGCCAAACCAAAUUACUCUACAAAUUUUGGAUCCACCUAUAGACUACGGAUUAUUACUCUCAUUUUUAUACAGAAUGGGAUUAGUGAUUAUUGCAGUUGCAUCGUUUGGAUUCACUUAUAUUUAUUUUAGCGAGAUUACAUACUAUAAUUAAAAUACUGAGGGAGAAAGGUUUCCCUAUUUUCCUUGUUGUUAAUAUGUUGGGGUAAAGAUUUCAAAAGGGGGUUUCCUGAUUUCCUAAAUGAGUAAUUGCAAUUCGGAAAACGAACUAUAUGCAUGACAAUUCGGUUUAGGUAAAAGACCAACUUAUUCUCUCAUUGCACUUGUAAACCCCUAAACUAGAGAGUUGUAGACAGUAGUAAUCCUCAACACCUACUUGGUUGGUGACACGUCAGAAAGAACGACAAUUUGGUGCAAUAGAAUGUACCGGAAUGGUACUUUUACAAGAUAUAAGAUUUUAGUGCUCAUAAGUUGCUGAGCUGGAUAGAUACCCACCCAUUUUAGGUUUUAGGGUUUGAUAAUUAUAUUUGCCACAAGAUUUAUGAGAUAUCAUAAGACUAGGUUAACUUCGCAUGCCGACAUCAAUGUGCGCACAACAUCAUUCGUUAGGUCUUGUUUCAUUAGACGAAUAAACAUAUGUGGAUAUUUUUUUGAAAGGGAGAGGGAUUAUAUUCCUCACAUGAUUUUUCGUGGUUUUUCAAGCGGCUUACUGCUUUAUAUUGGCCACCCUCAAAAACUGAUCAGACCCAAUUCAUACACAAUCAUUUAUUUGUUUGUCAAAAAAAAUUUCACGCAAUUACUCUUAAUAGAAAAGUAAAGUAUAUGAUUUACAUUAUGAUAUAUAUACUGACCAAUAUAUUAUUUUGAGAAGACGGAUAUAUAUUCUAUUAAACUUAGUCAUGUUCACAUCUGCAGAACUAAAAGGUCGCAGAGAGGAUUUAACCGCUCACACAAAACGCAGAAACUACGUAGGCAUAUUUAUAAGUAGAUGAAUCAUAAAAAUCAAUAGACGAAGGGUAAGAUUAAGCUUAAUUAGAUUAAAAAAAGGGGAACCUUCGGGGCAUGCAGUAAACAACUGUAAAGUAGAGAUAAUGCUCUCUGAUUCCUUUUGCCCACUAUCUACAUCCCAUUGAGUUCAAACUCUUUCGUUCUCCUCUCUCACUCACAGACGCAUUUUGCAAGUUGAUACACUUUUCUCCUCCCUAUAUAAAUCACUACCCUUCUCAAUCAACAAUUGCAUCUUACAUUAACAGAUUCUCAUAGUGUUUACUCGUUCCUUGCUUGCCUUCGGUUUCAUAGAGAAAGAGAGGGGGAGAGUUUAUAAUAGAUUAUUAUUAAUAUUUUCUUCACAGUAGCAUUUCACUACUUUGAGAGAGAUUAAAAAGAUAAAAUGGCGGUUUCAAUAGUCGUCUUGCGUACGGUCUUUGGCAUUCUAGGUAAAUCUUCUCACGUUUACGUAAACGUUCAUGUCUUCAUGAUGCAUGCAUGUACGUGAGUUAUCGUGAAUUCUAACAUAAGGAUAAUUAUUUUGUAGGGAAUAUCAUCUCCUUUCUCGUCUGUCUUGCCCCAAUGUAAAUGCUUUAUGACUCUCUUUACGUUCCUCUUAUAUAGAUAACGGUUUCCAUCAGACAUUAAAUAUACGUGUUGUUUAUGUAUUAGACCGACGUUCAUUCGUAUUUACAAGAGAAAAUCAUCUGAAGGGUAUCAGUCUAUCCCAUACGUGAUAGCGCUGUUCAGUGCGAUGCUAUGGAUAUACUACGCAAUGAUAAAGACGAAUGUAGUGAUUAUGAUCACUAUCAACGCCGUUUCCCUUGUCAUACAAAUCUUCUACAUCUCCUUCUACCUAUUCUACGCGCCUAAGAAGGAGAAGGUACUUGUUCAAUAUUAACAUAACUUCUUAUCUUGAAUGUACACACAAGAAUGACUACAUCUUUUGACCGUUGUGUUUCGAUAUGGCAGACUCUAACGGUGAAAUUCGUCUUAUUUGUGGAUGUUUUUGCGUUCGGCUUUAUUUUCUUCCUUACAUACUUUCUGCUUCAUGGACAAAAACGUGUUCAAAUACUUGGAUACAUUUGUAUGGUCUUCUCUCUAUGUGUUUUUGUCGCACCCCUUGGCAUCAUUGUAAGUCUCUCUUUCUUAUUUACUCAUUCAUUCAUUCAUUCAUUCAUUAAAACUGUUUUUAAUCGGUCAAGUUAAUCUUGAAAACACAGAGGAAAGUGAUUAAAACGAGAAGUGCAGAGUUCAUGCCGUUUGGUCUCUCCUUCUUCCUCACCUUAUCGGCUGUCAUGUGGUUCUUUUACGGUCUUCUCCUUAAAGACAUGAAUAUAGCGGUACGUCUAAGUAGUCUUCAUAUUUGCUUUUUUUAUUUUUUUCUAUGCUCGAGCUCUGAAAGCUAAUGUUUCUUUAAUUAUUUUUUUCAGCUUCCAAAUGUUUUGGGUUUCAUCUUUGGAGUGCUUCAAAUGAUACUUUACAUGAUAUACAAGAAACCUGGGACAAAGGUUUUGGAACCACCAGUGAUUAACCUCCAGGAAAUAUCUGACCAUGUUGUCGAUGUCGUGAGGCUUAGUUCGAUGGUUUGUUCCUCACAGAUGAGAACUUUGGUGCCACAGGACAGUGCGGACAUGGAAGACACCAUAACCAUUGACGAGAAGAUCAAAGGAGACA
rnacentral:lncRNA from 1 species